CUGUUGUCAUCAUUAUCAGCAUCUUCAUCAUCUUCACCUUCUUCUUCCUCUUCUUCCUCUUCCUCAUCUUCUUCAGGUAGUCGAACAGUACUACCAUAACCAUAAAGGCUGAGAAGUUCAUGAAUUGGCAUGUCGCCUUCCCUUGCAAGAUCUUCUAUUUCAGAGCUGAAGUUUGUUUCUCCUUCCAUCAUUUCUUCCUCUUCUAAUGUUCGUUCAUCA
rnacentral:lncRNA from 1 species